GAUGAACGCUAGCUACCGGCUUAACACAUGCAAGUCGAGGGGAAACGAUAUUGGAAGCUUGCUUCCGAUAGGCGUCGACCGGCGCACGGGUGAGUAACGCGUAUCCAACCUGCCCAUCACUUGGGAAUAACCUUGCGAAAGUAAGACUAAUGCCCAAUGACAUUUAUAGAAGGCAUCCGAAAUGAAUUAAAGAUUUAUCGGUGAUGGAUGGGGAUGCGUCUGAUUAGCUUGUUGGCGGGGUAACGGCCCACCAAGGCGACGAUCAGUAGGGGUUCUGAGAGGAAGGUCCCCCACAUUGGAACUGAGACACGGUCCAAACUCCUACGGGAGGCAGCAGUGAGGAAUAUUGGUCAAUGGGCGAGAGCCUGAACCAGCCAAGUAGCGUGCAGGAAGACGGCCCUAUGGGUUGUAAACUGCUUUUAUAGGGGAAUAAAGUGAGCCACGUGUGGUUUUUUGCAUGUACCCUAUGAAUAAGGACCGGCUAAUUCCGUGCCAGCAGCCGCGGUAAUACGGAAGGUCCGGGCGUUAUCCGGAUUUAUUGGGUUUAAAGGGAGCGUAGGCCGGAGAUUAAGCGUGUUGUGAAAUGUAGACGCUCAACGUCUGCACUGCAGCGCGAACUGGUUUCCUUGAGUACGCAUAAAGUGGGCGGAAUUCGUGGUGUAGCGGUGAAAUGCUUAGAUAUCACGAAGAACUCCGAUUGCGAAGGCAGCUCACUGGGGCGCAACUGACGCUGAAGCUCGAAGGCGCGGGUAUCGAA
rnacentral:rRNA from 1 species